rnacentral:lncRNA from 1 species
CAACAUAUGAGCCGGAGCGAGGAUGUGACUGAUGAUAAGGCUCUAAUGAAAGAAUGCUGGCCAGCUGGCACUGGCUGGCUCACUUGGCUGUGUAAUAGUGUAAUGGUGUAUUUCAACAUUUGUCAUUAUGAGGUAACCAGCUUAUGAUUUUCACUUUCACGACCAAAUGACCCAAAUCCACUGAUGACGUGGAGUCGUGGACCUGAAACAGCUGUCCAUUUUGCCAAAAUGUUGUCUGAGGCUACCUGUUUGGGCUUUAAGUCUCAUCCCAACCAGAAACACUGCAAAACAGAAACGGUCGUCAACGUAGAGAAAGAGGAAGAAUCUGAACCUAAAGUAGAGCCAGAAGAACCAUCUACUACCGGUAUACCAAAAACCAACGGAACUUACUCCAUACGCUCCAAGACUAGCAUUAUUGUGGCUUUCCAUUGUUGACUUAACGAAUAAUGGUUCUGGCGGAGUCAUCAGGGAAGAAAGCAGUGAUCUUUGUUAAUCAGUACAUGAGCAAUCCACUAUUUGCCAUUAAGAACCAUCCAUCGGGGGAGAGACACUCCAAAUGUUGCUUGUCGCUCAAGUUCUCCGUUACCAAACCUUUAUCACCUCCAUCAUAUCAAAGGAUUAAAGCAUCAGGUGAUGAAAUUCGUCUUUGCGAUCAAUUCGACCGUAUCACGAAUUGAAGCAUCAAUCCUGGUGUCGUUCAAGAUUUCUAUUGUGACCGCAAGAAUAGCUCACCGGCUUGGAUAUACUCAUUGGUCAGACCUCUGUUCAAGAAUGUCACGUUUUCCCGCAUAGACGGCCUCUAAUCUUCAGCGAAUUCGCUUUGUAAGGUCGAACCCUCUGUGCAUGUUCCCUUGAGAAAAAAUGGCGACCAAAGCCGGCAACAUGGGUAUGGAUUGUAAAACGGUCAGGGAAGUCGUCCCAUCUCCUCCCUGAUUAUGUAAACGCAAGAAAGUGGAAGCACCCAAACCGUCGCAACCGACCGUCACAUAAGAAUGAAGAUGACUUGCAACUUUAGGGUGCUAAUAACUAAGCAUUACCGCAAAGAGGUUCGAAAAAACUGCUGCUAGUACUACCACCUAAUUUUUUCCGACUUAAGUGCACGUUAGAGACUUGGGAUCUGGAGGUAAACAUCUGGAGUAAAAAUCAGAUUGAAGUGUUGAGAAAAUCUGGUCACUUGAUCCAUUCCCAGUCAAUGCAUCAAAUUGUCCUAGUAAACUGAAGUCCUGAUGAAUUUGGUCGUCGAAUUUUUUUUCCUAUCGAUCUGGAGGAUUUUUGAAUUUUACGACUUGGUCACCAGCAUAAAAUCAUGCGGGCCAUCAAGCGAGUGAAAGACAUUUUGGCCGUCAAGUACGUUCCGUUGCAGAUGUAGCAGGGCGACGUAAUGGUUUCGUCAGGAGGUGAAAUGCACGAAAUGUCGUCUCUCUCGACGUUCAGUACCGCAACGGAUCCACAAAAUCGUCUUCAUCUCACUACGCUAUUCCGCCUUCCAUCAUGCGGCCUGUUCUUUAUGUCACGAUCGGUCGCAAUAACAGACUAAACCACAUUAUCAGCAGCAGCAAAAACAACCUAUUUACUAUCACUAUCAACAGCCAACAUACCGCCCGGAUGUCGUGGCGAUUCAGUUUCACCGGAAAAGGUCAUCGGAAGACGUUUGACCUUGCCGGCCUGGCCCUGUUGCAAACGCUGAGCUAGCUGCUCUCCAGCAGACGUUUUACAAGCCUGGAUGGUGUCAGAGGAGCUACGAGGAUGGUUACGUGACGCCGGUGAGCGUGCACAGUAAUCAUCUUUUGCCGCAAGGGUAGAAUGUGCCGGGCGGCGGCACUUUACCACACCCGAGAGAAACAGUCAAACCUCGUCCAGUGACCAAAUACAGCGCCAAGACGAAAACCGAUUGUUGCCCCUAUCCAUCUGCACACCUCCUGCCCCGCCCAACGCCAAACGUGCCAGCAGUAGCUCCACCUCAGCGGAGAGCGAGGCGGCCUAGCCCAUUUACGGACGGAGUGCCAAGUCUAGUCUCUUGCCG